rnacentral:rRNA from 1 species
UACGUAGGUGGCAAGCGUUAUCCGGAUUUACUGGGUGUAAAGGGCGUGUAGGCGGGACUGCAAGUCAGAUGUGAAAACCACGGGCUCAACCUGUGGCCUGCAUUUGAAACUGUUUUUCUUGAGUGCUGGAGAGGCAAUCGGAAUUCCGUGUGUAGCGGUGAAAUGCGUAGAUAUACGGAGGAACACCAGUGGCGAAGGCGGAUUGCUGGACAGUAACUGACGCUGAGGCGCGAAAGCGUGGGGAGCAAACAGG